rfam:Oryza sativa Japonica Group DNA, chromosome 4, cultivar: Nipponbare, complete sequence.
AAUAGAUGACGCCGUUGACUUUUUCUCACAUAUUUGACCAUUCGUCUUGUUCAAAAAAUUUACGUAAUUAUAAUUUAUUUUGUUAUGGGUUGCUUUAUCACUCAUAGUUCUUUAAAUGUGAUUUAUAUCUUAUACAUUUGCAUAAAAUUUUUAAAUAAGACGAAUGGUAAAACAUAUGAGAAAAAGUCAACGGCGUCGUCUGUU